rnacentral:rRNA from 1 species
CCCCUAGAUGUUCUGGGCCGCACGCGCGCUACAAUGGUCUUCGCAAACGGAUGCAUUCUCGAAGGAGAAUGCCAAUCUUGGAAUCUAUGCCUUGGUCGGGACAGUUGCUUGCAAUUUUUCGACUCGAACCAGGAAUUCCUUGUAAUCGUGAUUCAUCACAUCACGAUGAAUACGUCCCUGCCCUUUGUACACACCGCCCGUCGCUCCUACCGAUCGAAGAGUUAGGUGAAUUGUUUUGAUCGAUAAGAUUUGACUAUGGUCAACUCUCGUUGUGAAAUUCUGUGAAUCUGACUGUUUAGAGGAAGGAAAAGUCGUAACA